rnacentral:rRNA from 1 species
UACAGAGGGGGCAAGCGUUAUUCGGAAUUAUUGGGCGUAAAGGGCGCGUAGGCGGCCUGGCAAGUGACGGGUGAAAGCCCUCGGCUCAACCGAGGAACUGCCUGUCAUACUGCCGGGCUUGAGUCCGGGAGAGGUGAGUGGAAUUCCCAGUGUAGCGGUGAAAUGCGUAGAUAUUGGGGAGGAACACCAGUGGCGAAGGCGGCUCACUGGACCGGAACUGACGCUGAGGCGCGAAAGCGUGGGGAGCAAACAGG